rnacentral:rRNA from 1 species
AGAGUUUGAUCCUGGCUCAGAAUGAACGCUGGCGGCGUGCUUAACACAUGCAAGUCGAACGGAAUCCAAGGAGCUUGCUCCUGAAGAUUUAGUGGCGAACGGGUGAGUAUCACGUGAGCAACCUGCCCCGAAGACUGGGAUAACACCGGGAAACCGGUGCUAAUACCGGAUGCCUUCCAAUGAUCGCAUGGUCGAUGGAAGAAAUGUUUUUUCGCUUCGGGAGGGGCUCGCGGUCCAUCAGCUUGUAGGCGGGCUAACGGCCCACCAAGGCUACGACGGAUAGCUGGUCUGAGAGGACGAUCAGCCACAGUGGAACUGAGACACGGUCCAGACUCCUACGGGAGGCAGCAGUGGGGAAUCUUGCGCAAUGGACGAAAGUCUGACGCAGCAACGCCGCGUGAGGGACGAAGGCUUUCUGAGUUGUAAACCUCCUUCGACAGGAACGAUUGUGACGGUACCUGUAAAAGAAGCACCGGCCAACUAUGUGCCACCAGCCGCGGUGAUACAUAGGGUGCAAGCGUUAUUCGGAUUUAUUGGGCGUAAAGAGCUCGUAGGCGGUUCGACAUGUCGGGUGUUAAACCCCCAGGCUCAACCUGGGGCACCCACCCGAAACUGUCGUGACUAGAGUUUGGUAGGGGAUCACGAAAUUCCUGGUGUAGCGGUGGAAUGCGCACAUUUCAGGAGGAACACCAAUUACGAAGGCGGGUAUCUGCGCCAAUACUGACACUGAUGACCGAAAGCGUGGGGAGCGAACAGGAUUACUCACGCUGGUAUUCCACGCCCUAACCGGUGAGCACUAGGUGUGAGAACUUUUCAACGUUUUCCGCACCGCAGCUAACGCAUUAAUCGCCCC